rnacentral:rRNA from 1 species
UACGUAGGUGGCGAGCGUUGUCCGGAUUUACUGGGCGUAAAGAGCGCGCAGGCGGUCGUGCAAGUCGCGUGUGAAAGCCCCCGGCUCAACUGGGGAGGGUCACGCGAUACUGCUCGACUCGAAGGCAGGAGAGGGAAGUGGAAUUCGCGGUGUAGUGGUGAAAUGCGUAGAUAUCGGGAGGAACACCAGUGGCGAAGGCGACUUCCUGGCCUGUUCUUGACGCUGAGGCGCGAAAGCUAGGGUAGCAAACGGG